GUGCAGCAGUCGAGAAACCUCCGCAAUGCGGGAAACCGCGACGGGGGACCCCGAGUGCCGUGGCAACGCCACGGCUUUUCCGGAGUGUAAAAAGCUCCGGGAAUAAGGGCUGGGCAAGGCCGGUGGCAGCCGCCGCGGUAAUACCGGCGGCCCGAGUGGUGGCCGCUAUUAUUGGGCCUAAAGCGUCCGUAGCCGGGCCCGUAAGUCCCUGGCGAAAUCCCACGGCUCAACCGUGGGGCUUGCUGGGGAUACUGCGGGUCUUGGGACCGGGAGAGGCGGGGGGUACCCCUGGGGUAGGGGUGAAAUCCUAUAAUCCCAGGGGGACCGCCAGUGGCGAAGGCGCCCCGCUGGAACGGGUCCGACGGUGAGGGACGAAGGCCAGGGGAGCAAAACCGGAUUAGAUACCCCUGUAGU
rnacentral:rRNA from 1 species